rnacentral:rRNA from 1 species
AACGAACGCUGGCGGCAUGCCUAACACAUGCAAGUCGAACGAGACCUUCGGGUCUAGUGGCGCACGAGUGCGUAACGCGUGGGAACCUGCCCUUAGGUUCGGAAUAACUCCCCGAAAGGGGUGCUAAUACCGGAUAGUGUCUUCGGACCAAAGAUUUAUCGCCUUUGGAUGGGCCCGCGUUGGAUUAGCUAGUUGGUAGGGUAAAAGCCUACCAAGGCGACGAUCCAUAGCUGGUCUGAGAGGAUGAUCAGCCACACUGGGACUGAGACACGGCCCAGACUCCUACGGGAGGCAGCAGUGGGGAAUAUUGGACAAUGGGCGAAAGCCUGAUCCAGCAAUGCCGCGUGAGUGAUGAAGGCCUUAGGGUUGUAAAGCUCUUUUACCCGGGAUGAUAAUGACAGUACCGGGAGAAUAAGCGCCGGCUAACUCCGUG